UACGGAGGGUGCAAACGUUGCUCGGAAUCAUUGGGCGUAAAGCGCACGUAGGCGGCCUAUUAAGUCGGAUGUGAAAUCCCUCGGCUCAACCGAGGACGUGCAUACGAAACUGGUAGGCUCGAGUAUGGAAGAGGGUCGCGGAAUUCCCGGUGUAGAGGUGAAAUUCGUAGAUAUCGGGAGGAACACCAGUGGCGAAGGCGGCGACCUGGGCCAAUACUGACGCUGAGGUGCGAAAGCGUGGGGAGCAAACAGG
rnacentral:rRNA from 1 species